AUCAAUUUGGACGCGUUCGUGAAAGGACUGAACAGAUAUUAUAUGGGCUCGGCUACAGCAUGGGGGUAUCAGAACAGCUAACCAAACACUUCAUACUACUUCCUGCACAGAACCGCUGACCAAACAUUUCAUAUCACAUCCUGAACAUCUGCCGAAGGUAGGGUAGGGGACCGGAAGCAAAGGUCAAAGAGCUACUCCUGGUGAACAAGGUUUGAAAUGAACAUCCAAAUGCAGAUUUUUUCAUGCUGAGUAUUUUGCUGAUGAACCAGCCACUGUGGAGGGCGACCUGUAAGACUUCUCAGAGUGAUACAUUACAAGACAUUAGACACUAAGAUUUGUCCAGGAGUGCUUUCCCUUCAGGCACCUUUCCAUGUUUCCCAAAUGCCACCGCAUUUUGGCACUCCUCUGCACUGAAGAAUUAGUCAAAAAGAAGAUGGAAUAAGCGAAGACAGUCCUUCCUUGCCUCUGCAUGGAUUGCAGCCAAGCGGGUUGAGGACAGGAAGAGGCCGCUAUCUGGAUACAGAUCUUGUUUCCCAGAUCUGAUUUUUGAAGCCAUAACACCAGCCUGAGGUUGUAUCUGUUCAACUUUAUCCAGAAAGCACUUUAAUGUUUCAAGUUGUUCACCACCUGUAACACAGAUGAUGAAUUACUAAUUUACAGGAAUAUAGCAAUGUUUAAGAAAUCAAGAAAAUAAAAUGUUUAUUAAUUAGACUGUGGGCCCUGUUUCACUGGAAAAAUGCAUUUCCAUUUGAAUAAAGAGGCCA